rnacentral:rRNA from 1 species
AACGAACGCUGGCGGCAUGCCUAACACAUGCAAGUCGAACGAGACCUUCGGGUCUAGUGGCGCACGGGUGCGUAACGCGUGGGAACCUGCCCUUAGGUUCGGAAUAACUCCCCGAAAGGGGUGCUAAUACCGGAUAAUGUCUUCGGACCAAAGAUUUAUCGCCUUUGGAUGGGCCCGCGUUGGAUUAGCUAGUUGGUAGGGUAAAAGCCUACCAAGGCGACGAUCCAUAGCUGGUCUGAGAGGAUGAUCAGCCACACUGGGACUGAGACACGGCCCAGACUCUUCCGGGAGGGGGGAGUGGGAAAUGUAGAAAAGGGGCGGAAGCCAUGAAGCAACUAGGCCGGGAAAGUGAUGAGGUCAUGGGGUAAAAAAAGUGUUUUUACCGGGGAAAAUAAUGACGGUACCGGAAAAAAAGGCCCGGGCUAACUCCGUG